CCUACGGGGGGCUGCAGUGAGGAAUAUUGGUCAAUGGACGAGAGUCUGAACCAGCCAAGUAGCGUGAAGGAUGACUGCCCUAUGGGUUGUAAACUUCUUUUAUAAAGGAAUAAAACGAGGCACGUGUGCCUUUUUGCAUGUACUUUAUGAAUAAGGAUCGGCUAACUCCGUGCCAGCAGCCGCGGUAAUACGGAGGAUCCGAGCGUUAUCCGGAUUUAUUGGGUUUAAAGGGAGCGUAGAUGGGUUGUUAAGUCAGUUGUGAAAGUUUGCGGCUCAACCGUAAAAUUGCAAUUGAUACUGGCAGUCGUGAGUACAGUUGAGGUAAGCGGAAUUCGUGGUGUAGCGGUGAAAUGCUUAGAUAUCACGAAGAACCCCGAUUGCGAAGGCAGCUUACUAAACUGUGACUGACAUUGAUGCUCGAAAGUGUGGGUAUCAAACAGGAUUAGAUACCCCUGUAGUC
rnacentral:rRNA from 1 species